rnacentral:lncRNA from 1 species
GAGUUAAGAAUUUGCUGCAACAAAUUGGCACUAGGAGGGUCCAAACCCAUUUUUGAGAAGGAGAGAGAGGUCCACACCAUGGCACCAUGCAAAGAAGCAUCCUCCCAUCAUUCCAACGCCGCCAACUUCCGACCAGUGGAGAAUUCUGCCAAUCAGCAAGCUUAGGUAGUGCCUUCACUUCCUUAACUGAGAGCAUGGUCAAUGUAGAGUAGUUCAACUUGCUGGUCUGACAGGUAUAGGAUUUGAUUGCUACUAUCCAAAUAAUGCAUCAGAACAAUCCCAUGCCAUAGGCUGCUUCACCACUAGAACACCCUUAGAUUCCUCCUCAAGGUCCUGAGUUGGGAGGACAAACUCGACAAAGCCACCCCC